CAGUAGCCACGGUAAUACGAGGGGGGCAAGCGUUGUUCGGAUUUAUUGGGCGUAAAGGGUGCGUAGGCGGUUUGGCAAGUCUUAUGUGAAAUCUUCGGGCUCAACUCGAAGUCUGCAUCGAAAACUGCCGGGCUUGAGUAUGGGAGAGGUGAGUGGAAUUUCCGGUGUAGCGGUGAAAUGCGUAGAUAUCGGAAGGAACACCUGUGGCGAAAGCGGCUCACUGGACCAUUACUGACGCUGAGGCGCGAAAGCUAGGGGAGCAAACAGGAUUAGAUACCCGAGUAGUCCCUGUCUCUUAUAC
rnacentral:rRNA from 1 species